UUUAUGGAGAGUUUGAUCCUGGCUCAGGAUGAACGCUGGCGGCGUGCCUAAUACAUGCAAGUCGAGCGAACGGACGAGAAGCUUGCUUCUCUGAUGUUAGCGGCGGACGGGUGAGUAACACGUGGAUAACCUACCUAUAAGACUGGGAUAACUUCGGGAAACCGGAGCUAAUACCGGAUAAUAUUUUGAACCGCAUGGUUCAAAAGUGAAAGACGGUCUUGCUGUCACUUAUAGAUGGAUCCGCGCUGCAUUAGCUAGUUGGUAAGGUAACGGCUUACCAAGGCAACGAUGCAUAGCCGACCUGAGAGGGUGAUCGGCCACACUGGAACUGAGACACGGUCCAGACUCCUACGGGAGGCAGCAGUAGGGAAUCUUCCGCAAUGGGCGAAAGCCUGACGGAGCAACGCCGCGUGAGUGAUGAAAGUCUUCGGAUCGUAAAACUCUGUUAUUAGGGAAGAACAUAUGUGUAAGUAACUGUGCACAUCUUGACGGUACCUAAUCAGAAAGCCACGGCUAACUACGUGCCAGCAGCCGCGGUAAUACGUAGGUGGCAAGCGUUAUCCGGAAUUAUUGGGCGUAAAGCGCGCGUAGGCGGUUUUUUAAGUCUGAUGUGAAAGCCCACGGCUCAACCGUGGAGGGUCAUUGGAAACUGGAAAACUUGAGUGCAGAAGAGGAAAGUGGAAUUCCAUGUGUAGCGGUGAAAUGCGCAGAGAUAUGGAGGAACACCAGUGGCGAAGGCGACUUUCUGGUCUGUAACUGACGCUGAUGUGCGAAAGCGUGGGGAUCAAACAGGAUUAGAUACCCUGGUAGUCCACGCCGUAAACGAUGAGUGCUAAGUGUUAGGGGGUUUCCGCCCCUUAGUGCUGCAGCUAACGCAUUAAGCACUCCGCCUGGGGAGUACGACCGCAAGGUUGAAACUCAAAGGAAUUGACGGGGACCCGCACAAGCGGUGGAGCAUGUGGUUUAAUUCGAAGCAACGCGAAGAACCUUACCAAAUCUUGACAUCCUUUGACAACUCUAGAGAUAGAGCUUUCCCCUUCGGGGGACAAAGUGACAGGUGGUGCAUGGUUGUCGUCAGCUCGUGUCGUGAGAUGUUGGGUUAAGUCCCGCAACGAGCGCAACCCUUAAGCUUAGUUGCCAUCAUUAAGUUGGGCACUCUAAGUUGACUGCCGGUGACAAACCGGAGGAAGGUGGGGAUGACGUCAAAUCAUCAUGCCCCUUAUGAUUUGGGCUACACACGUGCUACAAUGGACAAUACAAAGGGCAGCGAAACCGCGAGGUCAAGCAAAUCCCAUAAAGUUGUUCUCAGUUCGGAUUGUAGUCUGCAACUCGACUACAUGAAGCUGGAAUCGCUAGUAAUCGUAGAUCAGCAUGCUACGGUGAAUACGUUCCCGGGUCUUGUACACACCGCCCGUCACACCACGAGAGUUUGUAACACCCGAAGCCGGUGGAGUAACCUUUUAGGAGCUAGCCGUCGAAGGUGGGACAAAUGAUUGGGGUGAAGUCGUAACAAGGUAGCCGUAUCGGAAGGUGCGGCUGGAUCACCUCCUUUCU
rnacentral:rRNA from 1 species